rnacentral:rRNA from 1 species
GCGAGAAAACUUUGCAAUGUGCGAAAGCACGACAAGGUUAGUCCGAGUGAUUUCUGCUAAAGAAAUCUUUUGCCGGUCAUAAAACCACUGGUGAAUAAGGGGUGGGCAAGUUCUGGUGUCAGCCGCCGCGGUAAAACCAGCACCUCAAGUGGUCAGGAGGAUUAUUGGGCCUAAAGCAUCCGUAGCCUGUUUUGUUAGUUUUCGGUUAAAUCUAUACGCUUAACGUAUUGGCUGCCGAAAAUACUGCAAAACUAGGGAGUGGGAGAGGUAGACGGUACUCAGUAGGAAGGGGUAAAAUCCUUUGAUCUAUUGAUGACCACCUGUGGCGAAGGCGGUCUACCAGAACACGUUCGACGGUGAGGGAUGAAAGCUGGGGGAGCAAACCGG